UACAGAGGGUGCAAGCGUUAUUCGGAAUUACUGGGCGUAAAGCGCGCGUAGGCGGACUGUUAAGUCGGUUGUGAAAGCCCUGGGCUCAACCUAGGAAUUGCAUCCGAUACUGGCAAUCUAGAGUUUAGGAGAGGGAAGUGGAAUUCCUGGUGUAGCAGUGAAAUGCGUAGAUAUCAGGAGGAACAUCAGUGGCGAAGGCGACUUCCUGGCCUAAAACUGACGCUGAGGUGCGAAAGCGUGGGUAGCGAACGGG
rnacentral:rRNA from 1 species